AAGGAGAUGCUAUCUGCCGACUGCCAACCCAGAGGUUAUCCUAGUACAAUAAAUUGACAACGUUUUUGACUCUUCUUCACUACUCUCAUUUCUCAUUCUUCUUCCUCAGCUUACAAGAAGAUUAAAUUGGGAACACCAUUAUGGCUGGUAGACGUCAUUUACCAAAAGAUUUAUUAGUGGAUGUUUUAUUAAGGUUGCCUGUGGAAUCACUUGUGCGUUUCAAAUGUGUGUGCAAACAUUGGUAUGCUCUCAUCACAAGUCCAAGUUUUGUAGAAAUGCAUUUUCGUCACAAGCAUAAUCAUGCCCAUCUACUCAUUUGUAACUUAACACUUCUGGAUAAAUCAAAGUCCAUUGCUUUUUCCUUGCUCCCUGCCAAAAUAGUUCAAGGUGUUUCCCCUGAACAAAAAACUGUCCAUCAGCUUUGGAGGGUCUCUGAUUUCAUGUCCAUUGUUGGCCCAGUUGAUGGCCUAUUCUUGGUGGAAAAAGCAGCGUUUUUGGAUGAAGACAAUGCUCGCUUGGCUUUGUGGAAUCCUGCCACCAGGGAGUUCUGGCCUCUGCCUCCUGUGUCCUUUGAGCCUCAGCCAUUCAAAGAUCAUGAUGAUCAGUUUGCAUUGGGGUUUGACCCAUUGACUCGAGAUUAUAAGGUUCUAUGUAUUAGAAAAUUUUGGGAUGACUGGGGACUGGGCGUUUCCUGUAAUUGCUUUGUCAGUGUCUAUUCCAUACGCAACAACUCAUGGAAGAACCUGAGACCUGAUUUCCCUGACUGUUGUAACUUACACGAGCCCAUUGGUGCUACACAUCUCAACGGGGUAUAUUAUUGGCUCUCUUGGCGUCUAGACAAUAUCUUCCGCAUAUGCUCGUUUGAUAUGGGCAGCGAACAAUUUGGGGAGAUGCAAGGCCCGGAUAUUCCAAAGGCACAGUGGGGAAAGCUUAUGUUGCGUGGUGACUCGCUUGCUAUCUUAGUUGGUGAUCCUGGUAAACCAAUGACAUCCAUAUAUGAUGUGUGGGUGAUGUACCUAGAGGGUAGUUGGACCAAAGUUCUUAGUGUUCAACCUCAAAUAGUUGCUCAUUGGCCUCGCAGCAUCUGGGAGGAGGAUAAGAUGAUUUUCGAAAUCACAGAAACCUCACAGUUGGUAUUAUAUGACCCCACAACAAGACAAGUUAUAGAUCUUGGCUUUCAGCUGGACCUAAUCAUGGGUCGCUUUUGGGUUUUCAAUUACAAGCAGAGCCUAGUUCAAAUAAAGAGAAAAAAUGACAGCCAGGGCAAGGAUAAUGUUGUCUGGCAAAUUGAACAACCUUAUUAGUUCAGUUAGUAGUUCCUGAUAUUGGCGUUGCAUAAUACUCUCUUCAAAGGUUUCUCUUCAGCUUCAGGAUUUAGAAGUGUUUAUGGCAAGCAAAAAAUCGUCAAUUUCAAUAGCAGAGGCCUCCACUUUGCCAACUUUUCUAUCACUUCAAGCUCUCCUUCAAACCAACUUUGAACAAGCCUAAGUUGCGCUUGUGCCAAACGGAAAAAACUGAACGCCUGCAUAUAUAUUUUGGAUGACCGUGGUGUCAAGGCCAUCCUACUAGCAACAUGUACCAGCCUAAUAUAUAUAUAUUUUGGACGACCGUGGUGUCCGGGCCAUCCUACCAGCAACAUGUAUCAGGUAACUCUGUCCAUCAAGACUAGAACAAAUGGAAAGAAUCACCUAGUGUUUUUUUGUCUCCACUGAGUUCUAAACUUGAGACCUCAGGGUUCUCAACCACUUCAUUGACCACUAGGCCACACCCUUGGGUGCCUGUUUAGUGUGUGUAUAUAUAUCCUUUUGUAAA